rnacentral:rRNA from 1 species
GUGGGGAAUUGUUCGCAAUGGGCGCAAGCCUGACGACGCAAUGCCGCGUGGAGGAUGAAGGUCUUCGGAUUGUAAACUCCUGUUGACCGGGACGAACUCCUCCGGGGUGAACACCCCUGGAGGCUGACGGUACCGGUUGAGGAAGCCCCGGCUAACUCUGUGCCAGCAGCCGCGGUAAUACAGAGGGGGCGAGCGUUGUUCGGAAUUACUGGGCGUAAAGGGCGCGUAGGCGGCCGACUAAGUCCGACGUGAAAUCCCCCGGCUCAACUGGGGAACUGCGUCGGAUACUGGCUGGCUUGAAUCCGGGAGAGGGAUGUGGAAUUCCAGGUGUAGCGGUGAAAUGCGUAGAUAUCUGGAGGAACACCGGUGGCGAAGGCGGCAUCCUGGACCGGCAUUGACGCUGAGGCGCGAAAGCCAGGGGAGCAAACGGGAUUAGAUACCCUUGUAGUCC